rnacentral:rRNA from 1 species
CCUACGGGUGGCAGCAGUGGGGAAUAUUGCACAAUGGGGGAAACCCUGAUGCAGCGACGCCGCGUGAGUGAAGAAGUAUUUCGGUAUGUAAAGCUCUAUCAGCAGGGAAGAAAAAAGACGGUACCUGACUAAGAAGCCCCGGCUAACUACGUGCCAGCAGCCGCGGUAAUACGUAGGGGGCAAGCGUUAUCCGGAUUUACUGGGUGUAAAGGGAGCGUAGACGGCGCGGCAAGUCUGAAGUGAAAGGCAGGGGCUUAACCCCUGAACUGCUUUGGAAACUGUGGAGCUUGAGUGCGGGAGGGGCAGGCGGAAUUCCUAGUGUAGCGGUGAAAUGCGUAGAUAUUAGGAGGAACACCGGCGGCGAAGGCGGCCUGCUGGACCGUAACUGACGUUGAGGCUCGAAAGCGUGGGGAGCAAACAGGAUUAGAUACCCGGGUAGUC